rnacentral:SRP_RNA from 1 species
UCGCGCUAGGCGGGGAGCUAGCGGUUCCCUGAGCCCGCAAUCCGCUUCAGCGGGGCCGAAUUCCCUCUCGAGGGGGCAUCGUUCGAGACACGGGCCUGCGUCGUGAGCGUCGACGGCCAGGUUCCGCGCACUGGGAGCUUGUGAACCGCGUCAGAUCCGGGAGGAAGCAGCGCUAAGCAAUCCCUUCCAGGUGCCGCGGGUCGGCCUGGCCCGAGCAAGCAGCGCAACGCACCGGCUCGGUCGAGCCCACAGAGGAGGGUGUGCGG